CGGACGGGUGAGUAACGCGUGGAAAACCUGCCGUAUACUGGGGGGAUAACACUUAGAAAUAGGUGCUAAUACCGCAUAAGCGCACAGCUUCGCAUGAAGCGGUGUGAAAAACUCUGGUGGUAUACGAUGGUUCCGCGUCUGAUUAGCUAGUUGGUGGGGUAAUGGCCUACCAAGGCAACGAUCAGUAGCCGGCCUGAGAGGGUGAACGGCCACAUUGGGACUGAGACACGGCCCAAACUCCUACGGGAGGCAGCAG
rnacentral:rRNA from 1 species